rnacentral:rRNA from 1 species
UGGGGAAUAUUGCACAAUGGGGGAAACCCUGAUGCAGCGACGCCGCGUGAGCGAUGAAGGCUUUCGAGUCGUAAAGCUCUGUCCUAUGGGAAGAUAAUGACGGUACCAUAGAAGAAAGCCCCGGCUAAUUACGUGCCAACAGCCGCGGUAAUACGUAAGGGGCGAGCGUUGUCCGGAAUUAUUGGGCGUAAAGAGUGCGUAGGCGGCAAAUUAAGUCAGAUGUGAAAACUAAGGGCUCAACCCAUAGAUUGCAUCUGAAACUGAUAUGCUUGAGUCAAGGAGAGGAAAGUGGAAUUCCUAGUGUAGCGAUGGAAUGCGUAGAUAUUAGGAGGAAUACCGGUGGCGAAGGCGACUUUCUGGACUUGAACUGACGCUGAGGCACGAAAGCGUGGGGAGCAAACAGG